rnacentral:rRNA from 1 species
UACGUAGGCAGCAAGCGUUGUUCGGAGUUACUGGGCGUAAAGGGUGCGUAGGCGGUUGUUUAAGUUUGGUGUGAAAUCUCCCGGCUCAACUGGGAGGGUGCGCCGAAUACUGAAUGACUCGAGUGCGGGAGAGGAGAGUGGAAUUCCUGGUGUAGCGGUGAAAUGCGUAGAUAUCAGGAGGAACACCGGUGGUGUAGACGGCUCUCUGGACCGUAACUGACGCUGAGGCACGAAAGCUAGGGGAGCAAACAGG